AAAUUGAAGAGUUUGAUCAUGGCUCAGAUUGAACGCUGGCGGCAGGCCUAACACAUGCAAGUCGAGCGGUAGCACAGAGAGCUUGCUCUCGGGUGACGAGCGGCGGACGGGUGAGUAAUGUCUGGGAAACUGCCUGAUGGAGGGGGAUAACUACUGGAAACGGUAGCUAAUACCGCAUAAUGUCGCAAGACCAAAGUGGGGGACCUUCGGGCCUCAUGCCAUCAGAUGUGCCCAGAUGGGAUUAGCUAGUAGGUGGGGUAACGGCUCACCUAGGCGACGAUCCCUAGCUGGUCUGAGAGGAUGACCAGCCACACUGGAACUGAGACACGGUCCAGACUCCUACGGGAGGCAGCAGUGGGGAAUAUUGCACAAUGGGCGCAAGCCUGAUGCAGCCAUGCCGCGUGUGUGAAGAAGGCCUUCGGGUUGUAAAGCACUUUCAGCGGGGAGGAAGGCGUUAAGGUUAAUAACCUUGGCGAUUGACGUUACCCGCAGAAGAAGCACCGGCUAACUCCGUGCCAGCAGCCGCGGUAAUACGGAGGGUGCAAGCGUUAAUCGGAAUUACUGGGCGUAAAGCGCACGCAGGCGGUCUGUCAAGUCGGAUGUGAAAUCCCCGGGCUCAACCUGGGAACUGCAUUCGAAACUGGCAGGCUAGAGUCUUGUAGAGGGGGGUAGAAUUCCAGGUGUAGCGGUGAAAUGCGUAGAGAUCUGGAGGAAUACCGGUGGCGAAGGCGGCCCCCUGGACAAAGACUGACGCUCAGGUGCGAAAGCGUGGGGAGCAAACAGGAUUAGAUACCCUGGUAGUCCACGCCGUAAACGAUGUCGAUUUGGAGGUUGUGCCCUUGAGGCGUGGCUUCCGGAGCUAACGCGUUAAAUCGACCGCCUGGGGAGUACGGCCGCAAGGUUAAAACUCAAAUGAAUUGACGGGGGCCCGCACAAGCGGUGGAGCAUGUGGUUUAAUUCGAUGCAACGCGAAGAACCUUACCUGGUCUUGACAUCCACAGAACUUAGCAGAGAUGCUUUGGUGCCUUCGGGAACUGUGAGACAGGUGCUGCAUGGCUGUCGUCAGCUCGUGUUGUGAAAUGUUGGGUUAAGUCCCGCAACGAGCGCAACCCUUAUCCUUUGUUGCCAGCGGUCAGGCCGGGAACUCAAAGGAGACUGCCAGUGAUAAACUGGAGGAAGGUGGGGAUGACGUCAAGUCAUCAUGGCCCUUACGACCAGGGCUACACACGUGCUACAAUGGCAUAUACAAAGAGAAGCGACCUCGCGAGAGCAAGCGGACCUCAUAAAGUAUGUCGUAGUCCGGAUUGGAGUCUGCAACUCGACUCCAUGAAGUCGGAAUCGCUAGUAAUCGUAGAUCAGAAUGCUACGGUGAAUACGUUCCCGGGCCUUGUACACACCGCCCGUCACACCAUGGGAGUGGGUUGCAAAAGAAGUAGGUAGCUUAACCUUCGGGAGGGCGCUUACCACUUUGUGAUUCAUGACUGGGGUGAAGUCGUAACAAGGUAACCGUAGGGGAACCUGCGGUUGGAUCACCUCCUUACCUUAAAGAA
rnacentral:rRNA from 1 species